UACGUAGGGUGCGAGCGUUGUCCGGAAUUAUUGGGCGUAAAGGGCUCGUAGGCGGUUUGUCGCGUCGGGAGUGAAAACACCGGGCUUAACUCGGUGCUUGCUUUCGAUACGGGCAGACUAGAGGCAUGCAGGGAGAGCGGAAUUCCUGGUGUAGCGGUGAAAUGCGCAGAUAUCAGGAAGAACACCCGUGGCGAAGGCGGCUCUCUGGGACGGUACUGACGCUGAGACGCGAAAGCGUGGGAGCGAACAGG
rnacentral:rRNA from 1 species